GGCCGCUCACCAUGGCAGCCGGCUCCAUCACCGCCGGCCAGCGAGAGGGCAAGACAAGAGGGCUGACAAGAGGGACGCUACCAUCACAGAGGUCAGUUUUGUAACCUAACCACAAGACUAACCUACCGUCACCUCUGCCCUAUCCUACUGCUAGAAGCCAGUCGCUACAUCUCCCCCACACUCAAAGGGAGGUGGUCUCACUGUGGGGUCCACUGGAAGUUGCCUACCAGAGUCAGGUCAUCCCAAACACACCCUCCAGCCAUUUGGUAUGGCAUUGGAAAGAAAACUAAGGCCAGGUAUGGUGGCUCAUGCCUGUAAUCCCAACAAUUUGGGAGGCCAUGGCAGAAGGGUCACUUGAGCCCAGGAGUUUGAGACCAGCCUGGGCAACAUAGCAAGACCCCACCUCUACAAAUAA
rnacentral:antisense_RNA from 1 species